CUUCAAUGUUAAAGGGUAUUAAUUAUUCUACUUCAAUGUUAAAGGGCAUAAUUUCUGUUAUAUUUGUUCAGCUUUGCCAUUAUUUAAAGAGACUGUCAUCCAUUUUGACUACUUUGUUUGGUAGAAUUAAUUAAAUAAUUGAGCUAUUUGAAUUGAUACGGAUUACGGAGGAUUAGUAGAUUUAUUUCUUGACCUAUUUUGAUACCAUUUGAAAUCCUGAACCUUCAAGAAGAACCUGGAUAGGCCAUUUAUUUCAUUACAAAAGUAUGGCUCUACAAAAAAAAGAAAGAUAAGUUAGAAAAGGCUUUGAAUAUGAUGAGAUGAAACAACAAACAAUGCUAAAAGGCUUCUCUUUCCAGAGACGCUGCCUUUUUAUAUUCUUGAUAAAGAUCAAAUCAUCUAUUAUUAAUAUCCCAAAAUGCUCAAUACAUUUUAAAAGUGGCCUAUUUGAUUCGAUGUUGGCUUGGCUAGAAGACUGGCCAUGUUUGUAAUGCAGCUUGGUUUAAGAGUUGGAGUUUUCAUUUAACUACUUUCUUG
rnacentral:lncRNA from 1 species